rnacentral:lncRNA from 1 species
AUUCAGUGUUUGGGUGAAGACGGAGGCGGGUUCUGGACAGACCUACGCUGUCGGGGAGUGUUUACUUCGCCUCCACUUCUGUUCCUCCCCGCCCUGGUGCUGCUCCAGGUCACAUACUCUUCCUGAGCCGGCUUCAGCCUCUCCGCGCAGAAGUCUCCCGGAGCCAUGGCCUAGUAUUCUUAUGUGAAGUCUACCAAGCUUGUGCUCAAGGGAACCGAGGUGAAGAGCUGGGUCCUGCAGCUCCGGCGGGAGCCUCCUCAGUUCUUUUCGGACGCACUCCACCCCCGCGAAUCCGGUGGAAGCCGUGAUGCGGAGAGCCGGCUUCGUGGCCUCCCAGGCUUCGCUCUGACCCUGUCUGGGCUGGAUGGAGGCCGGACCGCCCUUCCUGGCGCCUGUGCAGAGAGGGGCAGCCUCCUGCGCGGACGACCCUGGAAACAGGAUAGACGGGCGGGUGACCCGUGACCCCGUACCCACGAGUUUGGGUCCCUUGAGGCAUCUCUCCAGGCCUCUGCCUGGUGGGUCUGCGUUAGUCUGAUCUUGUAGUUCAUUAUAAUAACUUCCUUUAUUAGGAAUUAUUCUUUUCUCCAUUGUCUCUUCCUGGAAAAAUUAUUAAUUUUUUUCUAAGCUAAUAUGUAGAGUGAAACCAGGAUGAAUCACACAGUGGUUGAGGUGUAUAUGGACUUUGAUAGGGAUAUGGGCUGGAACCUGCACUCUGUCAUUUACUAAUUUUGUAAUUUGUGGCAAAUUGGUUAAUAUGUCUGAACUUCCAUUUACUCAUUAAGAGAUCAAGUAUCUUUGAACCUCCGUUUACACAUUUAUACUUUCAGACCAUUUUUUAUACCUUUAGAAGACUGUGAGGAUUAAAUGAGAGAACAUACAUGCAGUAAAUAAAUUGAGCCAAAUGUGA